CCUACGGGAGGCAGCAGUGGGGGAUAUUUCACAAUGGGGGGAACCCUGAUGCAGCGACGCCGCGUGGGUGAAGAAGCGCCUCGGCGCGUAAAGCGCUGUCAUCAGGGAAGAAAAUGACGGUACCUUAAGAAGAAGCCCCGGCUAACUACGUGCCAGCAGCCGCGGUAAUACGUAGGGGGCAAGCGUUAUCCGGAUUUACUGGGUGUAAAGGGGGCGCUGAGGGAAAUGGAAGGAAGGAGUGAAAGGCCGGGGCCAAACCCAGGGACUGCUGUUGGAACUGCGUUGCUCGAGUGCAGGAGGGGCAGGUGGAAUUCCUGGUGUAGGGGUGAAAUGCGUAGAUAUCAGGAGGAACACCGGUGGCGAAGGCAGGCUGCUGGACCGCAACUGACGUUGAGGCACGAAAGCGUGGGGAGCAAACAGGAUUAGAUACCCGGGUAGUC
rnacentral:rRNA from 1 species